AAAUCGCCAACAAUCUGACCAAAAGACUUGUCUAACACGAAAAUAAAACAUUUACCAAACAAACCGCAACAAACGUUUUCAAGUACUUAUUUCCUGGUUGACUAAAAAGACGUGUAGCACAAGUAUUCAUUUCUUGGUUUAUGCGCAAAAAAACAUAUCAAACCAAAGAGAGACAAACUUAGAAAUAGUAUGUUUGAUUACAUAACUACAGAUUUAUAUAUAUAUAGCCCGACUCCUUGUAUCCCUUAGUAAACUACUCUACCCGAUAAAACAAAUCUUCCUAGGAACACCACUUAUUGCCGGGUCGGGUCAAAACAUACCCAACGCUUCUCAGUAAGACCUUUUACCAUCGUUUGAGCCAAAGCCACCACCAAAGCUGCUCCUUCCACCUGACUGAGAAGAACGAUCUGAACCAAAACCCCCGAAACCAGAAGAACGGUUGCUACGGCCACCACUGCUGCCAUAAUCAUCUGACCGACCACCAAAGCCUCCCCUUCCGCUUGACUGAGAAGAACGAUCCGAACCAAAGCCCCCGAAACCAGAGGAACGGUCUGAACCGAAGCUCCCAAAGCCAGAGCGCU